rnacentral:misc_RNA from 1 species
UUGCUCUAAAAAACUUCACAAUGGAAAUUAAUAAUAAUAAAAAAAAGUAAUAACAAGAAUUAAAACAAGAAAUUAUACUCAACUUUUUACAACAUAGAACCAUUUUCGUUGAAAAAGCUGAUUUCAUUUAAAAGAUCGAGAACUAGGUCUUUUUUUUUCCCUCCCUUUACUCCAAAAUUCCAUUUCCAUCCCCCAUCUUUUUUCACUAUCUCAUUUCUCACCCCUAAGGUGAAACUCAGAAGAUUUUUUUUCCCCUUUUUUUCUAAUAAACCUUCAAAGCAUUUAAAAAAGAAGUUAAAAAAAAAAGUGAUAAGUUGACGGCUACGUGUCUUUCCUUAAAUCUACCACGACAACGCUCACGUUGUCGGUAGUGUGCCUGGCCAGAGCCAACUUCG